rnacentral:rRNA from 1 species
GCUCAAAUUUGAAAUCUGGCACCUUCGGUGUCCGAGUUGUAAUUUGAAGAAGCAACUUUGGUGCUGGUCCUUGUCUAUGUUCCUUGGAACAGGACGUCAUAGAGGGUGAGAAUCCCGUGUGGCGAGGAUCCCAGUGCUAUGUAAAGUGCUUUCGACGAGUCGAGUUGUUUGGGAAUGCAGCUCUAAGUGGGUGGUAAAUUCCAUCUAAAGCUAAAUAUUGGCGAGAGACCGAUAGCGAACAAGUACAGUGAUGGAAAGAUGAAAAGAACUUUGAAAAGAGAGUGAAAAAGUACGUGAAAUUGUUGAAAGGGAAGGGCAUUUGAUCAGACAUGGUGUUUUGCGACCCUCGCUCCUUGUGGGUGGGGAUCUCGCAGCUCACUGGGCCAACAUCGGUUUUGGCGGCAGGAUAAAACUUUGGGAAUGUAGCUUGUCUUCGGAGAAGUAUUAUAGCCCAA